UACAGAGGGUGCGAGCGUUAAUCGGAAUUACUGGGCGUAAAGCGCGCGUAGGCGGCUUUGCAAGUCGGGUGUGAAAUCCCCAAGGCUUAACCUGGGAACUGCAUUCGAGACUGCAUUGCUAGAGUAUGGGAGAGGGAAGUGGAAUUUCCGGUGUAGCGGUGAAAUGCGUAGAUAUCGGAAGGAACAUCAGUGGCGAAAGCGACUUCCUGGACCAAUACUGACGCUCAUGUGCGAAAGCGUGGGGAGCAAACAGG
rnacentral:rRNA from 1 species